rnacentral:rRNA from 1 species
UACGGAGGGGGCUAGCGUUGUUCGGAAUUACUGGGCGUAAAGCGCGCGUAGGCGGACCUGCAAGUCGGGGGUGAAAGCCCGAGGCUCAACCUCGGAACUGCCUUCGAUACUGCGGGUCUCGAGUCCGGGAGAGGUGAGUGGAAUUCCUAGUGUAGAGGUGAAAUUCGUAGAUAUUAGGAAGAACACCAGUGGCGAAGGCGGCCACCUGGGCUAGGACGUGACGCUGAGGCGCGAAAGCGUGGGGGAGCGAACGGGG